rnacentral:rRNA from 1 species
CAAGUCGAACGAGGUCCUGGUGCAUCAAUGCACCGGAAGACCUAGUGGCGAACGGGUGAGGAACACGUGAGAAACCUGCCCCGAACUCUGGGAUAACAGUUGGAAACGACUGCUAAUACCGGAUGCCGUCGCGAAGUGGCAUCACUUUGCGACGAAAGAAUUUCGGUUCGGGAGGGUCUCGCGGCCUAUCAGCUAGUUGGUGGGGUAACGGCCUACCAAGGCAUCGACGGGUAGCUGGUCUGAGAGGAUGAACAGCCACACUGGGACUGAGACACGGCCCAGACCCCUACGGGAGGCAGCAGUGGGGAAUCUUGCGCAAUGGGCGAAAGCCUGACGCACCAACGCCGCGUGCGGGAAGAAGGCCUUCGGGUUGUAAACCGCUUUCAGCAGGAAAGAAAAUGACGGUACCUGCAGAAGAAGGUGCGGCCAACUACGUGCCAGCAGCCGCGGUGACACGUAGGCACCAAGCGUUGUCCGGAUUUAUUGGGCGUAAAGAGCUCGUAGGCGGUUCAGUAAGUCGGGUGUGAAAACUCUGGGCCUAACCCAGAGCCUGCACCCGAAACUGCUGUGACUAGAGUUCGGUAGGGGAGCAGGGAAUUCCUGGUGUAGCGGUGAAAUGCGCAGAUAUCAGGAGGAACACCGGUGGCGAAGGCGCCGCUCUGGGCCGACACUGACGCUGAGGAGCGAAAGCGUGGGUAGCAAACAGGAUUAGAUACCCUGGUAGUCCACGCCGUAAACGUUGGGCACUUAGUGUGGGUCUCAGCUAACGAGAUCCGCGGCGUCGCUAACGCAUUAAGUGCCCCCGCCUGGGGAGUACCGUCGCAAGACUAAAACUCAAAGAAUUGACGG